rnacentral:tRNA from 3 species
GGGGUGUUGGACAAGCGGUUUAAGUUAUAGCCCUUUCACGGCUACGAGAUGGGUUCGAUUCCCAUACACCCUA